rnacentral:lncRNA from 1 species
GGGGACAAACAGUAGAGGUAUACACUAAAAGUCUGGAGGCCAAGAGAUUUCAGAAAAGUUGCAGCUGUGAUCCUGCCCAGACAUUUUGGGAAGCAAGCAGCUGUCUAGUGCAGGUUUCAAUUCUUUCUAUUUGGUACCAGAGGGACCAACCGAGAUGCAUCCAAGGCCUGCUGCCUCUCCGCCUUCCACCCAUCCGUGAGCAGUGCCAGGCCUGGCUGAAUCCCAGAGUGACACAGGCGACAGUCAUGCGUGAACUAAAGGUUGUGGCAUUUGUUGUUCUGUAGAUCCACACCAUAAAAAG